rnacentral:rRNA from 1 species
CCCUUAUUUCUGUUGCCAGCGCGUUAUGGCGGGGACUCGUGAGAGACUGCCGGGGUCAACUCGGAGGAAGGUGGGGAUGACGUCAAGUCAUCAUGCCCCUUAUGUCCAGGGCUUCACACAUGCUACAAUGGCCGGUACAAAGGGCUGCGAUGCCGCGAGGCUUAGCGAAUCCUUUAAAGCCGGUCUCAGUUCGGAUCGGGGUCUGCAACUCGACCCCGUGAAGUCGGAGUCGCUAGUAAUCGCAGAUCAGCAACGCUGCGGUGAAUACGUUCCCGGGCCUUGUACACACCGCCCGU